rnacentral:rRNA from 1 species
AGACGGAAGGGGCUAGCGUUAUUCGGAAUUACUGGGCGUAAAGGGCGCGUAGGCGGAUUAGUAAGUUGGGAGUGAAAGCCCGGGGCUUAACCUCGGAACUGCUUUCAAAACUGCUAGUCUUGAGUGAAGUAGGGGGUGAUGGAAUUCCUAGUGUAGAGGUGAAAUUCUUAGAUAUUAGGAGGAACACCGGUGGCGAAGGCGGUCACCUGGACUUCAACUGACGCUGAGGCGCGAAAGCGUGGGGAGCUAACAGGAUUAGAAACCCUAGUAGUCC